GGUGGUUCAGAGGAGGCUCGAACUGUUGGCAAAUUUGGAAGUUUUUUAAGAUGCUUAUUUAUUUUAUUAUAUUUGUUGGUAGACUUGGCUCGGCUGUUAAAUACCUUGUUUUUGUGUCCCAGUGGGGAGUGAAAAGACGUUUUAUGAAAGGAACAAUGUGGAAACUGACUUCGGAGGAGCCAAGUGUCUUACCCAUAGUUUCCUAGCUGGGGCCAACCACUGCCACAGCACUGAGGGAAUGGUUACAUAAAUCUGCGGAGCCCAGUGCAAAAUGAAAAUAUUUUGAGAAUGUUCAACUUGAAAGAUAUGUUAUUUUCCAGUGUUCAUGAAUAUCUCCAACACUUUACAGUGAUUCAGUUAAUGGGGAGUACCUU